rnacentral:rRNA from 3 species
UUAAGCGACUAAGCGUACACGGUGGAUGCCCUGGCAGUCAGAGGCGAUGAAGGACGUGCUAAUCUGCGAAAAGCGUCGGUAAGGUGAUAUGAACCGUUAUAACCGGCGAUGUCCGAAUGGGGAAACCCAGUGCAAUUCGUUGCACUAUCGUUAACUGAAUACAUAGGUUAACGAGGCGAACCGGGGGAACUGAAACAUCUAAGUACCCCGAGGAAAAGAAAUCAACCGAGAUUCCCCCAGUAGCGGCGAGCGAACGGGGAGCAGCCCAGAGUCUGAAUCAGCUUGUGUGUUAGUGGAACGGUCUGGAAAGUCCGACGGUACAGGGUGAUAGUCCCGUACACCAAAAUGCACAGGCUGUGAACUCGAAGAGUAGGGCGGGACACGUGGUAUCCUGUCUGAAUAUGGGGGGACCAUCCUCCAAGGCUAAAUACUCCUGACUGACCGAUAGUGAACCAGUACCGUGAGGGAAAGGCGAAAAGAACCCCGGCGAGGGGAGUGAAAAAGAACCUGAAACCGUGUACGUACAAGCAGUGGGAGCACCUUCGGGUGUGACUGCGUACCUUUUGUAUAAUGGGUCAGCGACUUAUAUUCUGUAGCAAGGUUAACCGUAUAGGGGAGCCGCAGGGAAACCGAGUCUUAACUGGGCGUUAAGUUGCAGGGUAUAGACCCGAAACCCGGUGAUCUAGCCAUGGGCAGGUUGAAGGUUGGGUAACACUAACUGGAGGACCGAACCGACUAAUGUUGAAAAAUUAGCGGAUGACUUGUGGCUGGGGGUGAAAGGCCAAUCAAACCGGGAGAUAGCUGGUUCUCCCCGAAAGCUAUUUAGGUAGCGCCUCGUGAACUCAUCUUCGGGGGUAGAGCACUGUUUCGGCUAGGGGGUCAUCCCGACUUACCAACCCGAUGCAAACUACGAAUACCGAAGAAUGUUAUCACGGGAGACACACGGCGGGUGCUAACGUCCGUCGUGAAGAGGGAAACAACCCAGACCGCCAGCUAAGGUCCCAAAGUCAUGGUUAAGUGGGAAACGAUGUGGGAAGGCACAGACAGCCAGGAUGUUGGCUUAGAAGCAGCCAUCAUUUAAAGAAAGCGUAAUAGCUCACUGGUCGAGUCGGCCUGCGCGGAAGAUGUAACGGGGCUAAACCAUGCACCGAAGCUGCGGCAGCGACACUAUGUGUUGUUGGGUAGGGGAGCGUUCUGUAAGCCUGCGAAGGUGACCUGUGAGGGUUGCUGGAGGUAUCAGAAGUGCGAAUGCUGACAUAAGUAACGAUAAAGCGGGUGAAAAGCCCGCUCGCCGGAAGACCAAGGGUUCCUGUCCAACGUUAAUCGGGGCAGGGUGAGUCGACCCCUAAGGCGAGGCCGAAAGGCGUAGUCGAUGGGAAACAGGUUAAUAUUCCUGUACUUGGUGUUACUGCGAAGGGGGGACGGAGAAGGCUAUGUUAGCCGGGCGACGGUUGUCCCGGUUUAAGCAUGUAGGCUGGUUAUCCAGGCAAAUCCGGAUAAUCAAGGCUGAGGUGUGAUGACGAGGCACUACGGUGCUGAAGUAACAAAUGCCCUGCUUCCAGGAAAAGCCUCUAAGCAUCAGGUAACAUCAAAUCGUACCCCAAACCGACACAGGUGGUCAGGUAGAGAAUACCAAGGCGCUUGAGAGAACUCGGGUGAAGGAACUAGGCAAAAUGGUGCCGUAACUUCGGGAGAAGGCACGCUGGUGUGUAGGUGAAGUCCCUGCGGAUGGAGCUGAGACCAGUCGAAGAUACCAGCUGGCUGCAACUGUUUAUUAAAAACACAGCACUGUGCAAACACGAAAGUGGACGUAUACGGUGUGACGCCUGCCCGGUGCCGGAAGGUUAAUUGAUGGGGUUAUCCGUAAGGAGAAGCUCUUGAUCGAAGCCCCGGUAAACGGCGGCCGUAACUAUAACGGUCCUAAGGUAGCGAAAUUCCUUGUCGGGUAAGUUCCGACCUGCACGAAUGGCGUAAUGAUGGCCAGGCUGUCUCCACCCGAGACUCAGUGAAAUUGAACUCGCUGUGAAGAUGCAGUGUACCCGCGGCAAGACGGAAAGACCCCGUGAACCUUUACUAUAGCUUGACACUGAACAUUGAGCCUUGAUGUGUAGGAUAGGUGGGAGGCUUUGAAGCGUGGACGCCAGUCUGCGUGGAGCCAACCUUGAAAUACCACCCUUUAAUGUUUGAUGUUCUAACGUUGGCCCCUGACCGGGGUUGCGGACAGUGUCUGGUGGGUAGUUUGACUGGGGCGGUCUCCUCCCAAAGCGUAACGGAGGAGCACGAAGGUUAGCUAAUCCUGGUCGGACAUCAGGAGGUUAGUGCAAUGGCAUAAGCUAGCUUGACUGCGAGCGUGACGGCGCGAGCAGGUGCGAAAGCAGGUCAUAGUGAUCCGGUGGUUCUGAAUGGAAGGGCCAUCGCUCAACGGAUAAAAGGUACUCCGGGGAUAACAGGCUGAUACCGCCCAAGAGUUCAUAUCGACGGCGGUGUUUGGCACCUCGAUGUCGGCUCAUCACAUCCUGGGGCUGAAGUAGGUCCCAAGGGUAUGGCUGUUCGCCAUUUAAAGUGGUACGCGAGCUGGGUUUAGAACGUCGUGAGACAGUUCGGUCCCUAUCUGCCGUGGGCGCUGGAGAAUUGAGGGGGGCUGCUCCUAGUACGAGAGGACCGGAGUGGACGCAUCACUGGUGUUCGGGUUGUCAUGCCAAUGGCACUGCCCGGUAGCUAAAUGCGGAAGAGAUAAGUGCUGAAAGCAUCUAAGCACGAAACUUGCCCCGAGAUGAGUUCUCCCUGAGACUUUAAGUCUCCUGAAGGAACGUUAAAGACGAUGACGUUGAUAGGCCGGGUGUGUAAGCGCAGCGAUGCGUUGAGCUAACCGGUACUAAUGAACCGUGAGGCUUAACCUU